GAGCCGGUAGCUCAGUUGGUAGAGCAACGGACUUUUAAUCCGUAGGUCCUGGGUUCGAGCCCCAGCCGGCUCA
rnacentral:tRNA from 1 species